CGCGGUGCCACGGCCUUCACGCUGAGUGGCCUUGACUCAGUUCCCUCUCCGCGGUUUCCCGGCCAACCCUUCCCCUCGCUGCCUCUCAGGAAAAACCAAGUCCACGCUCGUUGGGAUUUCCUCGCGGCGCCCUGCAUGUCCUCGGGUAUAGAAAGGGCGGCCACCACAGCAGAGGCACCACUUCCCUCGCAAGACACGCAAGAUGAAGUUCGCCAUCGUCCUCAGUUGCCUUGUCCUGCUGGCCGCCGUGGCUGCCGCAGCGCCUUACGCCCCCGAAGACGAAGAUGGCUUCAGUGCCUUUAUCCCCAUGUUGAUGUCAGACUACGACCGCUUUCUGGAAGAGGAGAGAUGCUCCUGGGUAAAGAAAUGCACCAAAGGAAUUUGUUCCCGCGUCAGAGAUUGCCAGUGAGCACCAUCGUGGGAGCUAAAGAGGCAGCUUCUCAAGACGCCCAUAACCUCCACGUAUAUCCACCAGCUGCCAAGCUACACGACCUCUCUGUGAUUGAUAUGUUUAGCUCUGUCUCAUCCCCACCCACCGACAAGCUCAUGGUCCGCCACCGAGCCUGUGAUGUCCUCGUCACGCACACUAUACCUGAAGGGAAGCUGAUCUACUCCUGCAGCUCCUGCCUGUCAUCACCACAACCAUCACCACUAUCAUUAUCACAUUCUUCCUUCACUCCAAACAGCCACACAGGCAUCAGACAUGUUUAUAUAUAUAUAUAUAUAUAUAUAUAUAUAUAUAUAUAUAUAUAUAUAUAUAUAUAUAUAUAUAUAUAUAUAUAUAUAUAUAUAUUCCUAUCAUAUCAUACUACUACUACUACUACUACUACUACUACUACUACUACUGUCACUGCUGUCGUUGUCCGUACAGAUGUAAUGAAGUAUUUAGUAAGAAAAUAAAAAUGAAUUGAUCUUU